rnacentral:rRNA from 1 species
GAUGAACGCUGGCGGCGUGCUUAACACAUGCAAGUCGAACGAGAAUCUUUUUGAAUGAGGCUUCGGCCAAGUUUAGAAAGAGGGCAGUGGCAAACGGGUAAGUAUAACACAGAUAACCUUCCCUUUGGCGAGGGACAACCCACCGAAAGGUGGGCUAAUACCUCAUGGUAAUAAAUUUUUACGAAGAGAAUUUAUUUAAAGGCUUCGGUCACCAAAGGAUGGGUCCGUGCCCUAUCAGCUUGUUGGUGAGGUAAUGGCUUACCAAGGCUUAGACGGGUAGCCGGGCUAAAAGGCUGAACGGCCACACUGGAACUGCGACACGGUCCAGACUCCUACGGGAGGCAGCAGUGGGGAAUAUUGCACAAUGGAGGAAACUCUGAUGCAGCGACGCCGCGUGAAGGAUGAAGGCUCUCGAGUCGUAAACUUCUUUUAAGGGAAAGAAAAAAAAUGAUCUACCCUAGAAUAAGCAGUGGCUAACUACGUGCCAGCAGCCGCGGUAAUACGUAGACUGCGAGCGUUAUCCGGAAUCAUUAGGCGUAAAGGGGGCGUAGGCGUUUUGCUAAGUUCCUGGUGAAAGCUCCGGGCUUAACCCGGAAAUUGCUAGGAAAACUGGUAGAAUUGAGUUAAAGAGGGGAGAGUGGAAUUCCCGGUGGAGCGGUGAAAUGUGUAGAUAUCGGGAAGAAUACCGAUGGCGAAGGCAACUCUCUGGCUUUAAACUGACGCUGAUUCUCGAAAGCGUGGGUAUCGAACGGGAUUAGAGACCCCGGUAGUCCACGCCCUAAACGAUGAAUACUAGAUAUCGGUGGUAACCAAUCCUUCGGUAUCGCAGCUAACGCGUUAAGUAUUCCGCCUGGGGACUACGGCCGCAAGGCUAAAACUCAAAGGAAUUGACGG